GCCCAGGUAGUAUAGCUCGGUUAGUAUGUGAGACUGUCACUCUCGCGACCCGGGUUCGAAUCCCGGCCUGGGCG
rnacentral:tRNA from 1 species